GAUGAAGAACGUAGCGAAAUGCGAUACGUAAUGUGAAUUGCAAAUUCAGUGAAUCAUCGAGUCUUUGAACGCACAUUGCGCCCCCUGGUAUUCCGGGGGGCAUGCCUGUCCGAGCGUCAUUGCUGCCCUCAAGCACGGCUUGUGUGUUGGGCCCCGUCCUCCGAUCCCGGGGGACGGGCCCGAAAGCCAGCGGCGGCACCGCGUCCGGUCCUCGAGCGUAUGGGGCUUUGUCACCCGCUCUGUAGGCCCGGCCGGCGCUUGCCGAUCAACCCAAAUUUUUAUCCAGGUUGACCUCGGAUCAGGUAGGGAUACCCGCUGAACUUAAGCAUAUCAAUAAGCGGAGGA
rnacentral:misc_RNA from 1 species